rnacentral:tRNA from 1 species
ACUCAGGUAGUUUAAGGUAAAAUAUUGAUUUGUGGUAUCAUUGAUGUACAUUAGUGUGUUUUGAGUU